AUUGAAAGCUGGCGGCGGGACUAACACAUGCAAGUCGAGCGAGCGGCGGACGGGUGAGUAAUGUAUGGGGAAUGCCCGAUAGAGGGGGAUAAAUACUGGAAACGGUAGCCAAUAACGCAUAGUAUUGGAGCACCCAUAUGGGAUUAGCUAGUAGGUGAGGGAAUGGCUCAACUAGGCGACGAUCCCUAGCUGGGCUUAGAGGAUGAUCAGCCAUACUGGGACCGCUACACGGCCAAGGCUACGACGGAGGCAGCACAGGAGAAUAUUGCACAAUAGGCGCACGCCUAAAGCAGCCAUGCCGCUUGUAUGAAGAAUGCCCUAGGGUUGUAAAGUACUUUCAGUCGGGAUGCGUUACCGACAGAAGAAGCACCGGCUUACUCCGUGCCAGCAGCCGCGGUAAUAC
rnacentral:rRNA from 1 species